UUAGUUACAGUUGCUAAGGAUCACAGUGACAGCAACAUAAAAUCUGUUUGGUCUUUAGGCGAAUGACUUGUGUUGAGUCACUUCUCCUGUGUAACAGGUUGAGUUCAGCGUGGAGAGGAGCACUUUUCAUCUGCUGGUUGACGGGUUCCGUGUGACUGAUGGACAUCUGCCAAACAACGAGGGAUCAUCUUUAGACCUGCACAACCCCGUGUAUCUGGGAGGUGAUCCCAAAAGCAAAACCACAAACGGACACAACAUUCCCAUGAACAGUGUUAUUGGUUGUAUACGGGACUUCAAAAUGAAUGAGGUCGUUAUGGUGGACCUUGAGGCAAGCUACAAAACUUUACCCUGCUUCGAUGGGCUCGCAGAGAUCGGGACAUACUUUGGCGGCGGUCACAUCGUCUUGGAGAAUUACUUCACCAUUGGCUCGGAGUUUGUGUUGGCCUUCGAGCUGCGUCCUCAAUACCUGACAGGUCUUC